rnacentral:rRNA from 1 species
GACGAACGCUGGCGGCGUGCUUAACACAUGCAAGUCGAACGGAAAGGCCCCUUUGGGGGUACUCGAGUGGCGAACGGGUGCGUAACACGUGAGUAACCUUCCCUUGACUUCGGGAUAACUUCAGGAAACUGGGGCUAAUACCGGAUAGGAAUCCUUGCUGCAUGGUGGGGGUUGGAAAGCUUCGGCGGUUUUGGAUGGACUCGCGGCUUAUCAGCUUGUUGGUGGGGUAGUGGCUUACCAAGGCUUUGACGGGUAGCCGGCCUGGGAGGGCGACCGGCCACAUUGGGACUGAGAGACGGCCCAGACUCCUACGGGAGGCAGCAGUGGGGAAUAUUGCACAAUGGGCGGAAGCCUGAUGCAGCAACGCCGCGUGCGGGAUGACGGCCUUCGGGUUGUAAACCGCUUUCAGCAGGGGCGAAGCUUGUGGUGACGGUACCUGCAGAAGAAGCACCGGCUAACUACGUG